rnacentral:rRNA from 1 species
CUGGCGGCAUGCCUAAUACAUGCAAGUCGAAUGGAAGAGCUUGCUUUCCAUGGCGAACGGGUGAGUAACACGUAGGUAACCUACCUUAAGGACGAGGAUAACCUUUGGAAACGAAGGAUAAUACUGGAUAGGACAUCAUAAAACACAUGUUUAGAUGUUUAAAGGAGCAAUCCACCAUAAGAGGGGCCUGCGGCGCAUUAGCUAGUUGGUGAGAUAAAGGCCCACCAAGGCGAUGAUGCGUAGCCGGACUGAGAGGUUGAACGGCCACAAUGGGACUGAGAACGGCCCAUACUCCUACGGGAGGCAGCAGUAGGGAAUUUUCGGCAAUGGACAAAAGUCUGACCGAGCAAUGCCCGCGUGAUCGAAGAAGUAUUUCGGUAUGUAAAGAUCUUUUAUCAGGGAAGAAAAGACAGAUUGACUGAACCUGAUGAAUAAGCUCCGGCUAACUACGUGCCAGCCGCCGC